rnacentral:rRNA from 1 species
AGUGGCUUGACACACGCAAUCUGACUGCUGUUGGUGUUCGCGUCCCUGUGUGGUUCUCGGGGAGCAAACGGGAACCCGUUGUUGACAACAGGUUUGCCGCCUGCCUGGUGGUGGGUGGUGUGGGUUUGUCCGGUGGUUAUGGCGAAGGGGAAACACCCGGUCCCAUUCCGAACCCGGUAGUUAAGCCCUUCAGCGCCGAUGGUACUGCAUGGGUGACUGUGUGGGAGAGUAGGACGCCGCCGGAC